GCCAGGCGUGGUGGCGUGUGCCUGCAGUCCCAGCUACUCAGGAGGCUGAGGCUGGAAGGUCACUUGGGCCCAGGAGUUCUGGGCUGCAGUGCCCUAUGCCAAUCAGGUGUCCGCACUAAGUCUGGCAUCGAUUUGGUCACCUCCCUGGAGUGGGGGUCCACCAGGUUGCCUAAGGAGGGGUGAACUGGCCCAGGUUGGAAACAGAGCAGGUCAGAACUCCCGUGCUGAUCAGUAGUGGGAUCGCGCCUGUGAAGAGCCACUGCAUUCCCACCUGAGCAACAUAGUGAGACCCUGUCUCUA
ensembl:misc_RNA Metazoa_SRP Metazoan signal recognition particle RNA